AUUGAACGCUGGCGGCAGGCUUAACACAUGCAAGUCGAACGAGUGGCGGACGGGUGAGUAAUGCUUGGGAAUCUAGCUUAUGGAGGGGGAUAACUACGGGAAACUGUAGCUAAUACCGCGUACCAUAGGAUGAGCCCAAGUGGGAUUAGGUAGUUGGUGAGGUAAAGGCUCACCAAGCGGACGAUCUCUAGCUGGUCUGAGAGGAUGACCGGCCACACUGGGACUGAGACACGGCCCAGACUCCUACGGGAGGCAGCAGUGGGGAAUAUUGCGCAAUGGGCGAAACCCUGACGCAGCCAUGCCGCGUGAGUGAAGAAGGCCUUCGGGUUGUAAAGCACUUUCAGUAGGGAAGCGUUACCGAACGAGAAAGCACCGGCUAACUCCGUGCCAGCAGCCGCGGUAAUUC
rnacentral:rRNA from 1 species